GAAUUUGCAAGGGUGCAAGAGGCAGCCCGAAAAGACAUUGAAAGAGCAUUCGGAGUUUUGCAAUCUGGGUUUGCCAUUGUCCAAGGUCCUGCUCGUUUUUGGGAUAAGAAAACCCUGAAGAACAUCAUGACUUGCUGUGUUAUCCUGCACAAUAUGAUUCUUGAAGAUGAGAGAGGAAUGGACUUAGAAUUCUUUUACGAUAAUGUGGGUAGCCGUGUCAAACCAGCUAGAGACCCAAACCACAUUAGAGCUUUUCUUCAGACAUACAAGGAGAUUGAAAAUGCAGACACACACUUUCAACUUCAGAAAGAUCUCAUUGAGCACCAU
rnacentral:rRNA from 1 species